rnacentral:rRNA from 1 species
GAGCAGCGAACGGGUGAGUAGCGCGUGGGGAAUCUGCCUUUGAGCGGGGGACAACAUUUGGAAACGAAUGCUAAUACCGCAUAUCACCUUUGAACACAAGUUUUAAGUUUGAAAGAUGCAAUUGCUUCACUCAGGGAUGAUCCCGCGUUGUAUUAGCUAGUUGGUGAGGUAAAGGCUCACCAAGGCGAUGAUACCUAGCCGACCUGAGAGGGUGAUCGGCCACAUUGGGACUGAGACACGGCCCAAACUCCUACGGGAGGCAGCGGUAGGGAAUCUUCUGCAAUGGACGAAAGUCUGACCGAGCAACGCCGCGUGAGUGAAGAAGGUUUUCGGAUCGCAAAACUCUGUUGGUAGAGAAGAACGUUGGUGAGAGUGGAAAGCUCAUCAAGUGACGGUAACUACCCAGAAAGGGACGGCUAACUACGUGCCAGCAGCCGCGGUAAUACGUAGGUCCCGAGCGUUGUCCGGAUUUAUUGGGCGUAAAGCGAGCGCAGGUGGUUUAUUAAGUCUGGUGUAAAAGGCAGUGGCUCAGCC